rnacentral:lncRNA from 1 species
UAAAAAAUCAUAAUAAAUAUAAACAAGUAUAUAGAAUUUGUGGGAUGAAAGUUGUGCCCGUGCAUUUAUUCUCGUUUAAUUAUCUUUCCAUCCAAAAAUGAGAUUAUUUCAGGCAUCAAAUAUAAUGUCGAUUAAUGAGAACGAGAACGGCAUGCAUUAGAGUGCAAAUCAUAUAUGUAUAUACAUAGUCAUGAAUUCAUUUCACCAUCUUGAAACGUGCAGCCUCGAUGUGGGUUUCCAUAGGUUUUCACCUUUCUCUUUUAAGUCAUGUUCCUGGCUCUGCACAAAAGAAUAAGAACAAAUUAACACAGCAACUGUACUAUGAAUUAUAGAAUAACGAUGGAAAAAUUAUCUGACUGAAAUAAUCAGUUCCUAGGGUCCAUCAACCUACUAGCAAUGGGGGAGAAAACAUAACAUGUCGCAAUAAAAGCUUAAUUCGAGUAUUAAAAAGGGAAAAUUGUAGCAGCGGUC